rnacentral:rRNA from 1 species
AGAGUUUGAUCCUGGCUCAGAACGUACGCUGGCGGCACGCCUAACACAUGCAAGUCGAACGAAGUAGCAAUACUUAGUGGCAGACGGGUGAGUAACAUGUAGGUAUCUGCCCUUUGGCCUGGAAUAACACGAGGAAACUUGUGCUAAUACCGGAUAAGUCUUUACGGAGAAAGCUUUAUGCACCAUUGGAUGAGCCUGCACUUGAUUAGUUUGUUGGUGGGGUAAUGGCCUACCAAGACUGUGAUCAAUAGCUGAUUUGAGAGGAUGAUCAGCCACAUUGGGACUGAGACACGGCCCAAACUCCUACGGGAGGCAGCAGUGGGGAAUCUUGCACAAUGGGGGCAACCCUGAUGCAGCGAUGCCGCGUGAGUGAAGAAGGCCCUUGGGUUGUAAAGCUCUUUCGUCGGGGAAGAAAAUGACUGUACCCGAAUAAGAAGGUCCGGCUAACUUCGUGCCAGCAGCCGCGGUAAUACGAAGGGACCUAGCGUAGUUCGGAAUUACUGGGCUUAAAGAGUUCGUAGGUGGUUGAAAAAGUUAGUGGUGAAAUCCCAGAGCUUAACUCUGGAACUGCCAUUAAAACUUUUCAGCUAGAGUAUGAUAGAGGAAAGCAGAAUUUCUAGUGUAGAGGUGAAAUUCGUAGAUAUUAGAAAGAAUACCAAUUGCGAAGGCAGCUUUCUGGAUCAUUACUGACACUGAGGAACGAAAGCAUGGGUAGCGAAGAGGAUUAGAUACCCUCGUAGUCCAUGCCGUAAACGAUGUGUGUUAGACGUUGGAAAUUUAUUUUCAGUGUCGCAGCGAAAGCGAUAAACACACCGCCUGGGGAGUACGACCGCAAGGUUAAAACUCAAAUGAAUUGACGGGGACCCGCACAAGUAGUGGAGCAUGUGGUUUAAUUCGAAGAUACGCGCAGAACCUUACCAACACUUGACAUGUUCGUCGCGACUCUAAGAGAUUAGAGUUUUCGGUUCGGCCGGACGAAACACAGGUGCUGCAUGGCUGUCGUCAGCUCGUGUCGUGAGAUGUUGGGUUAAGUCCCGCAACGAGCGCAACCCUCACUUUUAGUUGCCAUCAUUAAGUUGGGCACUCUGAAAGAACUGCCAGUGAUAAGCUGGAGGAAGGUGGGGAUGACGUCAAGUCCUCAUGGCCCUUACGUGUUGGGCUACACACGUGCUACAAUGGUAUCUACAACAGGAAGCAAGACUGCGAAGUUAAGCAAAUCCCUAAAAGAUACCUCAGUUCGGAUUGCACUCUGCAACUCGAGUGCAUGAAGCUGGAAUUACUAGUAAUCGUGGAUCAGCGUGCCACGGUGAAUGCGUUCCCGGGUCUUGUACACACCGCCCGUCACACCAUGGGAGUUGGUUCUACCUUAAGGCAAGGUUUCAAACCCUUGACCACGGUAUAGUCAGCGACUGGGGUGAAGUCGUAACAAGGUAACC